AUGAACCAACAAUGGAUGUACGGUGACAGACGCACCUCUGAGUACAUUAAGGGCGUGCACAAUUUUCUCGAAGGGGCUAAGGAAAACAAGAAGAAUGGUUUUAUGUGUUGUCCACGUCCUAUAUGUGGGAAUACGAAGUCUUACUCUGACCGGAAAAUCCUUCACAGCCACGUGCUUUAUAAGGAUUUCAUGCCACACUAUAAUGUUUGGACCAAGCACGGAGAAAGAGGGAUUAUGAUGGAAGACAACGAAGAAGAAGAGGAUGAUGAAAACUAUGUGCCCCCUGAAUAUGGUGAUUCUGCAAUGGGGGAAGCUGAAGAUCAAGAGGAACCAGACGAUGUGCCCGAUGAUGAUCUUUGCCGGCUCAUUGUUGAUGCAAAGAGACAGUGUGAAAGUGUAAAGGAGAAGCUGAAGUUCGAUCGCAUGUUAGAGGAUCACAAAAAAGGGUUGUACCCCAAUUGCGAAGAUGGCAACACAAAGCUUGGUACUACACUGGAAUUAUUGCAGUGGAAGGCAGAUAAUGGUGUACCUGACAAAGGAUUUGAGAAGCUACUGAAAAUAUUGAAGAAGAAGCUUCCAAAGGAUAACGAAUUGCCCGAUAGUACGUACGCAUCAAAGAAGGUUGUAUGCCCUCUAGGAUUGGAGGUGCAGAAGAUACAUGCAUUCUCUAAUGACUGCAUCCUC
rnacentral:rRNA from 1 species